CUUGCUUGUUACUCAAGGGGCAGAGAGGCAGUAGACUCCAGCUGGUUAAAGUCACUUCCCUGACCACAGACUUUGACCCCUCCCCAAAAUGCUAAUUCCUAGUGCCAACCCAAAAAAGGUUGCUCAGCUCCUCUUCCCUGUCCCUACCCCUGCUCUUUGACAAAUGUAGAUAUUGCAGCUCUUUUUCUUUUUUUUUAAUCAAUUCAUUCAACAGUCUCUCUUCUCUUGUUGUUAUGUACCUAUCAAAACAUAUACAACCCAGAAACACCUCAGAGUACCUUAUUUAUUUCUCUUUUACUAACAGGCUGAUGUUCCUAAACAAUGGCUGAAGAACAAACCGAGGCUCCAGGCUCGGUUUAGUGCUGAGUUUUGCUGUAUGGACCCCGGGAUGUUUCUGAGCUGGUUUCUUUGAGAAAUGAGGGAAGUCCCAGGGAGGGCUCUGCUGUGAGCAGUUCUGCUGGCUCCUUCCCCUGCAGCCACAGCCAGGCAGCCAAAGGAUCAGCCCCAGAUGCUCAAUAAGGAUUAAGCCGAAUCUACUACCUAAAUUUCUUACUUCCUCACUUCCAACUCCUGCCCAGUGGCCAUGACAUUCUGUUUCAAGCAGGGAUGAACCUCUUCUGGCCAAAAACCCACUUGGGCAAGAUUCAAACAAACAUCCAGGCCAGCAGCUUCAAGUGCUCUCAUUCACAAGCGAUCAGUCAGAAAUCUCUGCUGAUUUUGGUGGCACUGACAUCAAAGGUACAGCAUUUUUCACUGCAUGACCACACUGACGUCACCACUGUAAAGCCUGAUGGAGGAUGGAAUGAGCAGAUCCUGCCAGUUUUCUCUGCCUGGAUUUGGCAGCACGCAGAGGUUUUGUGAUGUGCUCUACUGGAGGUUGUUUUUGGCACCUCCCCUGCAGUGUCAGUGCCAGUGUGCAGCAGAAGAGCAUCUCAUCUCUGAGCCAUGCUGGAAUAGGAGGUGGGAGUCAGCACUUUUCUUCCAGCAGAUGCCACCCAACCUUGACCUCCACCAUCCAGAUGUGCAGGAGCUUUGGAAACUCAAGAGACAGAUGAGCACACAUGGAAGAGCGAUGCUCAGGUGCAGAGCGAGCAGGAGUGUGCAUUGCCACUGA
rnacentral:lncRNA from 1 species